UACGGAGGGUGCAAGCGUUAUCCGGAUUUACUGGGUUUAAAGGGUGCGUAGGUGGGCAGUUAAGUCAGUGGUGAAAUCUCCGAGCUUAACUCGGAAACUGCCAUUGAUACUAUCUGUCUUGAAUUAUCUGGAGGUGAGCGGAAUAUGUCAUGUAGCGGUGAAAAUGCUUAGAUAUACAUAGAACACCUAUUGCGAAGGCAGCUUACUACGCAUAUAUUGACGCUGAGGCACGAAAGCGUGGGGAUCAAACAGG
rnacentral:rRNA from 1 species